GACGAACGCUGGCGGCGUGCUUAACACAUGCAAGUCGAACGGAAAGGCCCUGCUUUUGUGGGGUGCUCGAGUGGCGAACGGGUGAGUAACACGUGAGUAACCUGCCCUUGACUUUGGGAUAACUUCAGGAAACUGGGGCUAAUACCGGAUAGGAGCUCCUGCUGCAUGGUGGGGGUUGGAAAGUUUCGGCGGUUGGGGAUGGACUCGCGGCUUAUCAGCGUGUUGGUGGGGUAGUGGCUUACCAAGGCUUCGACGGGUAGCCGGCCUGAGAGGGUGACCGGCGACAGGGGGACUGAGACACGGCGCAGACUCCUAAGGGAGGCAGCCGCGGGGGAGAGUGCGCAAUGGGCGCAAGUGUGAUGCAGCGACGCCGCGGGAGGGGGGACGGCCUUCGGGGUGGAAAAAGCAGUCAGGAGGGACGAAGCGAAAGUGACGGUACCGGGAGAAGAAGCAACGGCUAACUACGUG
rnacentral:rRNA from 1 species